rnacentral:lncRNA from 10 species
GUAGGUUUUCUUGCAAUUUUUUGUGGUAAGAUAAAAUUUAUAUCAUUUUAACGAUUUUUAAGUGUACAGUUCAAUGGCAUUAAGUAUAUUCAUAUGGUGUAACUUGGGUAGUCCAUUUUGCACACACUUUGUAUGGAACUUUUUAUGCUACUCUCAUUUAUAAAUCCUCUAGAAGCUGACCAACAAGACUUGCCUUAGAAUUAAUUCUAGCAAACAAUGGACAUUGUUGUCCCAAUAUAUUAUGAAAUGAACAUAUCACUAAAGAGGGUGACAUAAACACUGACCAAGGUGGAUUUAGCAAAAAUUAUUAAUUUUUAAUUAACUAUAUUUAUUUUCCAAAAUCAUUAGACCAACAAUUACAUAUAGUUUUUCUCUAUUCAUUCAGUGCACUCAAUAAAUGUGUUUAGCACCUAUUAUGUGACAGGAACUGUUCUGCAUACUGAGGAAGACAAGCAAUAAACAAAUGAAUAAUUAAGAGAGCAAAGUAAUUGCAGAGCAUUAUACAUGCUAGUAAGAAAAUAAACCAGGCCAGAAGCAGUGGCUCAAGCCUGUAAUCCCAGCACUUUGGGAGGCCAAGGCGGGCAGAUCACUUGAGCUCAGGAGUUCAAGACCAGCCUGGGCAACAUGGUGAAACUCCAUCUCUACUAAAAAUACAAAAAAUUAUCCAGGCAUGGUGGCAUGCACCUGUAGUCCCAGCUAUUCAGGAGGCUGAAGUGGGAGAAUUGCUUGAAUCCCGGAGGUGGAGAUUGCAGUGAGCCAAGAUCAUGCCACUGCACUCCAGCCUAGGUGACAGAGCGAGACUCCGUCUAAAAAAAGAAAAGAAAAGAAAACAAAAAAGAAACCAGGAACCAAGGUGGUGUGAUAAGGUGAUAAGGUGUGAUUGUGGCUGGGGGUCUACUCUAGCUAGGAUGUUUGCAGAAAACCCCUCGUAGAGGACCUGAAUAAGGAGAGAGGAAGUGCACCACAGAGAAAAGUCAGGGCAACAGAGGAGGCUGGCAUCUCACAGGGCCUUGCAGGGCACCCUAAGGAGGGCCAUAGGAGCCACAGGGAUGUGAUCUUAUUUCUUUUCUAUUUUCAUUAAAAAAAUUUUUUUUUAGCAGGGACAGGGUCUUGCUAUGUUGCCCAGGCUAUCUCGAACUCCUGGCUUCACACAAUCCUCCCACCUUGGCCAUCCAAAGUGCUGGGAUUACAGGGGUGAGCCAGUGCGUCCAGCCUCUUUUUAAAAAUGAGAUCAUUGGUUGCUGUUUGGACAAUGGACUUAGGAGGUUGAAUUAACAAAAAUCAAUUAUGGCUUAAAAUUCGAAAUUAUAAAAAAUAAAAAUUUCCUUUUUAUAUUGGAUUAAAAGCCAGCUGAAUAUCCCACUGAAAAUUAACAGAAAUUUGAACUUAACUUUACCUUUUCAAAAUUGAUCUCUUUUAUGACACAGUGCUUGCUAUCUGAUUUCCCUUUAGCUAAGUAUGCUUUCCCGAAGGCACCUUGCCCGAUGGCCUUAAUCACAUCGUACUUAUCCAUGGUCUCCAAUGGGCUGAGUUUCCUGGAAUUAGAGUAAUGUAAAUUUAUCACACACGUCUCAUAAAGACUAACAAAGUCAGAAAACUGAUGACUAAAGUGUAAAAGAACUCACUUAGCUAAAACUUUCCUCCCAGCCUUGCCAAGACAGAGACAAAUAACUUUCUUUGUGGCCACAGAUAACUGAAAUGAGACAGAGUUUCUUGGUCAGACACGGGUCAUAGCUCAGCUUUGAUACACUUUUGCCCUGUAUUCUCGGGUAAGUCACUUAACCUGGCAAAACCUCACUUUCCUAAUUUCUAAAAUGGAAUAACAAUACCUGUUUUGCAAGUUUGUUCUGAGAAUGAAAGAUACUAUAUCCGGUGUUUCGCACCUUUAUAAAGCAGGAAUGUCCUUAGGCUUGUGCACUUUUAUAGUUCAGCCUUUCUUAGUGGGGACGUACUGCCCCCUAGGGGGAAUUCUGGAAAUAUAUGGGGGUGGGGAAGCUGUUUCCCCAAGAUUCAGAGGCAUGAGGUUUACAGGUGGUUGGGGCCUGAGAUGGUAGGAUUCUGCGAUUCGAGAGACAGUCCCGCACAAUAAAGGAUUACCCCGCGGCCCUACAAUCUUGGAGAGUCUUCCUAUACAUUCCUGUGCGUGGAAAAAUCCGUUUGUGGCUAGAACCAAACUCUAUUUUACAUCGAAAUGCUAAGUAUUUUUGCAGUUUUAAUGAACACUUCUUUUUUUUUUCGAGGAAUGCAACUACAUGUAAAUCAAGGCUUGAUUGCACUUCGGUUUGGAGGUUUACCAAGAAUUGUUCACCAUUUGGGAAAACCACGCGCUUCACUGGCCACGCUGCUCCUGGUCCCGGAGACCCAACAAUCUGCAUUUGCUGCCGUCACGUUCAGGCGACUCCCCAGGCGCGGCUACUGGCUACUUCUCUACAUUUUCCAAGGGGCCGCCCCUGGAAGCGGCCGCGGGUGAGUGGCAAGACGCUUACCCGUACCCGACCUCCGCGUGUGGAGCGUUGCCAUAGAGACCGACGCGCCCUGGACGCUACACCCACACAGCCCAGGACGCUAGGCCUUUUCUGGGCCGCCCCCGCCGCCCCAGGCCGAAACUCCAUCCCUUUCCCCCACCCUGCCGAGCUCCCGAAGCCCUGUGGCGGCUCCGGGCAAGAACUAAGGGCGGCCCCUGCAAGCGUACCUGCUCCGCCGGCUCCGCGGGGCCAACGAAGCGUCCCGGAAGGAUCCGGGUUCCCGGGGCCGCUGCGCCUCCCUGCGGCCGGGGCGGAGCCGCGCAAGGAAACGCGGGCGGGGCGCGGGUCUGGAAUGGCCUGGGGACCAGUCCACCUCGAGGCAGGGUCAGGCGCCAGGGAGUUUGGAGACCCGGCAGAGUCACCCCGCAACCGUCCCGUUGCCUUGGGUCGGGAUUCCUUUGCUUUGCAGUCUACAGUAGCGCUCCCCGCUCUUGCUUAAGGUGCACCAGACGCUUCGCAAACGUUCUCUCUUUUCUUUACAACCCGUCAAGGCAGUAGUCUCCCAGUUUUACAAAUGAGCUAAACUGAUACAGGAAGAGUGUUUCUUGUACAAGGUCUCAAAUAUUGCCAAAAGGUGGACGUGAGACUGGAACGGCUUCCUACUCUUUGGGCCACAGCGGCGGCCUGCCAAGGGACUUUCUAACGAAACCGGCGCUGCCCAAGCGUCUGCACUCACGCCCAGUGCUCAUCCCACCCUGCCCCAUUCUGGAUUUGCACAUCAAGCUGCUGUCUAAAAUGUUUAAGUAGUUGAAAAAAAUGUAAUUUUCAGCAAUUGUAAAUAGUGACGCAAGUUAAAUAUAUCCAACUGAAUCGAAACACUACAGUAAUAUGGUACCCUCCAUCGUCCACCUCACACACACACACAAAAAAAACCCACAAAAAACUCUUAAAAAUCCUAAGUUUACAUCAUUACUCUUCCUUCUUAAAAUCAUCUCUCCGCCGCCCCCUCCCCGUCCCUGCCACAAAAAAUUUCUUCUUCUUGUAAGCACUCUAGUCAAGUUGGAUUAGGGCUGAACUAAAGGCCUCAUUUUGAUCUAAUUGCAUCUUUAAAGUCUCUGUCUCCGAAUAUAGUCUCAUUAUUAGUUAUUGGUGUUAGAUUUCAGUGUGUGAAUUGGGGGUGGCCGCGGCGGGGGUGAAUGCAGCCCGUAGCAGGAGUCCAAAAGUUGUUUAGCAGUUGGAAUAUCCAAUGUUAGUUUCUUUGGCAGUGAAAUUCCCUCAAAAUAUUAGUAGGUAUAUGAUCUACUUGUUUUUGUUUAAUUACACGUGUCAGUGACCACACCCAAAUUUCUUCCCUAGAAUUCUUAGACAUGCUUCAUUAAAUCAUAUCUUCAUUCUACUUUCCUGAUAGAAUUUUACCCGUUAUCUUUUUCAUACUUGAAAGUCUUAUUGAUCAUCCUAUCAUACUGCUGAAAGAAGUACAGAAAUGGAAAUUUAUAUUUCCUGCUCAUAGAAUUUUAGUUUUUCUGGAUUAAAUUGUUAAAAUUACUAGUACUACACAAUUGAUCACAAUAAAAUGUAUCACAAUACUGAUAAUUAUUAAAUAUAAAAAAUAAAAUUGUAUUGAAAAUUCAUCUCUUUAAGACCUGGAUGGGCUUCCCAUGCACCGUUAGUUCCUGUAUCCAUAGAUGAAUGCUAACUUCUUGCUACAAUGAAGUUUAACACUGAUUCUCUUCCAUUUUCUUAAGGCUGUAAGUGCUGAGAAAUAAGUACAUAGGA